CCUACGGGUGGCUGCAGUGGGGAAUAUUGGACAAUGGGGGCAACCCUGAUCCAGCCAUGCCGCGUGAGUGAAGAAGGCCUUCGGGUUGUAAAGCUCUUUCGACGGGGACGAUGAUGACGGUACCCGUAUAAGAAGCCCCGGCAAACUUCGUGCCAGCAGCCGCGGUAAUACGAAGGGGGCUAGCGUUGUUCGGAAUUACUGGGCGUAAAGCGCGCGUAGGCGGUGAUCCAUGUCAGAGGUGAAAGCCUGGGGCUCAACUCCAGAAUUGCCUUUGA
rnacentral:rRNA from 1 species